GCUAGUAUAUAGUUUAGACUAAAUCUAAAUUUUACAAGUUGUUCACAUUUUGUGAGCUAAGCCUGUAAGCACUUAUAUUAAUAGAUAUUAGAUGGACAUGGGUUCAAUUCCCAUCAGUUCCA
rnacentral:sRNA from 1 species